rnacentral:rRNA from 1 species
GACGAACGCUGGCGGCGUGCCUAAUACAUGCAAGUUGAGCGCUGAAGGUUGGUACUUGUACCCACUGGAUGAGCAGCGAACGGGUGAGUAACGCGUGGGGAAUCUGCCUUUGAGCGGGGGACAACAUUUGGAAACGAAUGCUAAUACCGCAUAAAAACUUUAAACACAAGUUUUAAGUUUGAAAGAUGCAAUUGCAUCACUCAAAGAUGAUCCCGCGUUGUAUUAGCUAGUUGGUGAGGUAAAGGCUCACCAAGGCGAUGAUACAUAGCCGACCUGAGAGGGGGAGCGGCCACAUUGGGACGGAGACACGGCCCAAACUCCUACGGGAGGCAGCAGUAGGGAAUCUUCGGCAAUGGACGAAAGUCUGAACGAGCAACGCCGCGUGAGUGAAGAAGGUUGUCGGAUCGUAAAACUCUGUUGGUAGAGAAGAACGUUGGUGAGAGUGGAAAGCUCAUAAAGUGACGGUAACUACCCAGAAAGGGACGGCUAACUACGUG